rnacentral:lncRNA from 1 species
CUUUCACUGGCACUCCAACUUAGCUGAGAUCAAUAUCCUGACACUGGACGGCCGCAACUUAUUUUCAACAGGGAACACUUAAGUACGGACUAUGAUUUGAAACAUAUCAGGUGAAAGAAUUUCAGAUAAUGUUGGAUAUUCCACGACUUUCGGACUUCUAAGUUCAGAAAGGUAGGAAAAAAUUAUUCACUGGACAGACUGUCGACACCAGAGGAAACAGUAAAUUAUUUUGUACUUCAAGAUAGAAAACAUGAGUUUCGUUGUAUUAUUUAAUCCGAAAAUUUGAUGAAGCUCCCGUUGGUUUACUGUCAUAACAAAAUAAGUUCUCAUCCAACAAAUGAAUGUAUGGAACUCAAUUAGUGUCGACGUUGACCAGAGAAUAUUGACGGAAUACUUGAAUCAUAAAUGAUUAACAGACAUUCAACCUUGACGGCAAGAUGUUCACAGUGAAUGUUGUUUUGUCGUUCCUUCCUAAGACACUAGCACGAAAACGCAAAAAAGAUUAAGUUCCUUUAUUUAGGGGUGUAAGUGGCUCUACCACGACCUUCUGAGCCAAAGCCAACCUCUCCUGCCCGCGGCGCACCCUGCCAAUCAACGAACGAGGCUCUGGCGGAGACGUGGUCGCAAAAGAACCAAAAACACAGCCCUCAGGUUCGAUCGACCGCAACCUUACCAGUACGCGAUGACGUCUCUUUGUUAAUGUUACAUUCGAUUCACGUAUACUUUAAAUAAUUCAUUCGGCUAUUUAACUUUCAUUAAUUCUCAACGUGUCAGCCUGUUUUUAAUGAUUCUUACUAUGUAACCACGAUUUACUAAAUUUAUUUUCACAUGUAAUAAAUAUUGGUCUAUGGUUGAGCUAUUGUAGUUUGACGACUUGUAACUUAAUGUUAGAUUGUAGGUUUUAAGUGUAUGAAUAUUUAAUCUCUCAAUGUCAUAGCUGUGCUUUUUAAUGUAAUCUAAUAUAUGGCUAUUAGAAUAAUUAUGAAACAGACACACGCACACACACACAAUCGAAUAUUAGAAAAACGUAUUUAACGACAUUAGUAUUAAUUAAAUUCUCUAACUUAAUAUUUCAUUAAAUACAUUAUUAUCGCUCAUGAGUGUAUCUUAAUCUUUAUAUUAAAUUGAUGUGUAGUAGAAAA